GCAGAGGCACAGCAGUCUUACACGGAAUGCGGAAUGACGCGGAAGUGCGUUCGGUUGGCCGCCUAAGCGUACAGUAUUGGUGUUCCAGUGACAUCCUCGCGUGGAAAAGGUGCAUUUUCGCGAGUGUUGCAGUGCCGGACAAUUGCUGGCGGUGCGGUUUCCCGGGGGAAAGCCAGGCAGUGGGUCUCGUGAGUGGAACAAGGGAAGGAAGUUGUUCCGUGCUUGGCGAGUGUGAGUGAGAGCGACGGCCCGGUGUAGUGGUGUGAGUGAGAGGGCCUGCGAGUGAUUAUUUUGUGCAGCGAGCGAGAGGGCGAGAGAGUGUUUGAGUGGCGUGGAUUGUCUCGAGAUUUCCCGAAGGUGAUAGGAAUUUGCUGAUAUUGAGAAGAGUGUACAAUAUUUUGUGCGAGCGAAGGAAAAAAAAAAGAAGAGCGAAAACAGUGUGGGGACAAAUUCCUGUACCAAUCCACGGCGUCACGCGGGAAGUUGCGAGAAAAAUCGCCAAGAAUUCCCUCAACAUUUCACUGGAUGGGUGAAAUGAUGAGAUAGUCAUUAGUGGAAAUGAGCCCUUUGCGGGGCCACCAUUUGCCAUCGCGAUGGUUGGCAAUUGUGUGCCUCGUGCUGACGGUCCGGGCG